rnacentral:rRNA from 1 species
GACGUAGGAGGCGAGCGUUGUCCGGAUUCAUUGGGCGUAAAGAGCGCGCAGGCGGUUUGGUAAGUCGGAUGUGAAAUCCCGGAGCUCAACUCCGGACCUGCAUCCGAUACUGCCCGACUAGAGGUAGGUAGGGGAGAUCGGAAUUCCUGGUGUAGCGGUGAAAUGCGCAGAUAUCAGGAAGAACACCCGUGGCGAAAGCGGCUCUCUGGAACGGUACUGACGCUGAGACGCGAAAGCGUGGGGAGCGAACAGG